UGGAGCAGUUCUGCCAUGUGGUCGGGGCUGAAACGCAAGCCUGGAUUUGCCAGCACAACCCCACUACCCUGGAUCAAGCCGUGACGUUGGCCGAAAAUUUUGAGGACACCCUCAUGUCCGCCCACGCCACCCUGCUGAACUACCCCUCUCCCUCCGUUGCCAAACCACCAUCGAACACAUCGCCAGAUACUGUCCGGCAGCCAUGGAGUGCGACGUGGCUGCGUGUCACCUGGCAUCGGAGACAGGGGUCACUGUUCGGGAGAGGCCCUACCGGAUCCCAGAAAGCCGGCGGAGUGGCGUCCAGAACGAGAUCUCCCUUCUGACCGGUGAGGGCACUGGGGAGGAGGAGCAGGCGGAGCCGCGGUACGCAACGUCACAGACCCGGUCGGGAAGCGCGGUGGCAAUCACGCAUUGGCUGA